UACGUAGGUGGCAAGCGUUGUCCGGAAUUACUGGGCGUAAAGAGCGCGCAGGCGGUCGUGCAAGUCGCGUGUGAAAGCCCCCGGCUCAACUGGGGAGGGUCACGCGAUACUGCUCGACUUGAAGGCAGGAGAGGGAAGUGGAAUUCCCGGUGUAGUGGUGAAAUGCGUAGAUAUCGGGAGGAACACCAGUGGCGAAGGCGACUUCCUGGCCUGUUCUUGACGCUGAGGCGCGAAAGCUAGGGUAGCAAACGGG
rnacentral:rRNA from 1 species